rnacentral:tRNA from 1 species
GCGCCCGUAGCUCAGUGGAUAGAGCGCUUGACUACGAAUCAAGAGGCCAGAGGUUCAAGUCCUCUCGGGCGCACCA